rnacentral:rRNA from 1 species
AACUAUAUGUUAUUAUAUAUAGCUAUUCCUGCUCAAUGAUUUUAAAUAGCCGCAGUACCCUGMCUGUGCAAAGGUAGCAUAAUCAGUUGGCUUUUAAUUGGAGUCUGGCAUGAACGGAUUUCUGGAAAGUAACUGUAUCUUAUUUAUUUACGCGAAAUUAAUUUGUAAGUGAAAAUACUUACAUCUUUAGAGAGGACGAGAAGACCCUAGAAAUUUCUUUUAUUUUGUUGGGGCGACAGAAUUACAAUUAAACUAAUUUGAAUUAACGUGGCGUUAUUACAGUUCGAUUAAAUUACUCUAGGGAUAACAGCAUAAUUUAACUAGUUUGUGACCUCGAUGUUGGACUAGGACAUUAAUGGUUUAGAAGACCUUUAAUAGUGCUCUGUUCGAGCAAGUAUUUCCU